rnacentral:rRNA from 1 species
CCUACGAGUGGCAGCAGUGAGGAAUAUUGGUCAAUGGCCGGGAGGCUGAACCAGCCAAGUCGCGUGAGGGAAGCAGGCCCUACGGGUUGUAAACCUCUUUUGUCGGGGAGCAAAGAGAGUGACAUGUGACUCAUUGAGAGUAACCGAAGAAAAAGCAUCGUCUAACUCCGUGCCAGCAGCCGCGGUAAUACUGAGGAGGCGAGCGUUAUCCGGAUUUAUUGGGUUUAACGGGUGCGCAGGCGGAGGGGCAAGUCAGCGGUCAAAGCGCGGGGCUCAAACCCGUACUGCCGUUGAGACGGUAACCCUUGAGUGCGCGAGAAGUAUGCGGAAUGCGUGGUGUAGCAGUGAAAUGCAUAGAUAUCACGCAGAACUUCGAUUGCGAAGGCAGCAUACCGGCGCGCAACUGACGCUCAUGCACGAAAGCGUGGGUAUCGAACAGGAUUAGAUACCCGAGUAGUC